rnacentral:lncRNA from 1 species
UUUAUUAAAAAAAAAUUGAGACAGAAUCUCACUAUGUUGCCUCACCCAGGCUGGAGCACAGUGGCGCCAUCUCAGCUCUCUGCAACCUCUGCCUCCUGGGUUCAAGCAAUUCUCCCACCUCAGCCUCUCAAGUAGCGGGGACUACAGGCACGUGCCACUCUGCCUGGCUAAAUUUUUGUAUUUUUACUAGAGAUGGGGUUUCACUAUGUUGGCCAGGCUGGUCUCCAACUCCUGACCUCAGGUGAUCCUCCCACUUCAGCCUCCCGAAGUACUGGGAUUACAGGCAUGAGCCACCGCACCCAACCUUGUUUUUUUAGAGUCAGGUCUCGCUGUCGUCCAGACUGGUGCAGCGAUGUGUUCACAGUUAAGGGGACUACAGGGAGGGACAUGGAGGAUGAGGCCACACUGAGAGGGAAGGCCAGUGUCAUGGUGAUGGUUUCACAGGAUAGAAAAAACACAGG